UACGGAGGGUGCGAGCGUUGUUCGGAAUUACUGGGCGUAAAGCGCGAGUAGGCGGAUUAGUAAGUCAGAGGUGGAAUCCCAGGGCUCAACCUUGGAACUGCCUUUGAUACUGCUAGUCUUGAGUUCGAGAGAGGUGAGUGGAAUUCCGAGUGUAGAGGUGAAAUUCGUAGAUAUUCGGAGGAACACCAGUGGCGAAGGCGGCUCACUGGCUCGAUACUGACGCUGAAGUGCGAAAGUGUGGGGAGCAAACAGG
rnacentral:misc_RNA from 1 species